ACAAAUAAUAAUUUUAUGUAUGUUUUACAGUUUUCACUUUGAUGUUUUUGGUACAAAGAAGUAAUUAAACAUUAUAUUUUUGAUAUUUUGUGUUGACAAUCAAAUAUUAAUUCAAUAGAAUGCACUGUAAAAAUAGAACAAGAAAGAAAACUCAAUAUAUUUCAAAAAUCAAAAUGAAUGGAAACUUUUUGACAUGUUACAUGGCAUUAUCUUUUGUGAACAGAGAUAACAAAUACUUACUUAUCUCUUUCAAAAUUAUUGCCAACUUUGAAAUCGCAAAAUUAAUCAAGCCUUUUGUAAAAAAAAAGACUACAGUUGGGGUCUUGAAGAAGAGAAUUUCAAAAUAAAAGUCCAAUGAAAAGUCUAUCAGAUGAAAAUUAUUUCGUUUUACCAACGAAGGAGGAUAUAUGUAUAAAAUUAGCAACUUAAAACUAAUCUUCUUGAAAUAUAUUUUGAUGGGUAUUAAAUUAUUAAUAAGUUAUAGAGUUUGAAAGCCAGUUACCUACAUUUUAGAAUAAUAUGCAGUCAUGAAAAGUUCAAAAAAUUGAUUGAAAAAAAAAAGUUUUGCUGAUAUUUAAUUUGCAUACCAUCCUUAA
rnacentral:lncRNA from 1 species